rnacentral:rRNA from 1 species
GACGAACGCUGGCGGCGUGCUUAACACAUGCAAGUCGAACGGAAAGGCCCUGCUUUUGUGGGGUGCUCGAGUGGCGAACGGGCGAGUAACACGUGAGUAACCUGCCCUUGACUUUGGGAUAACUUCAGGAAACUGGGGCUAAUACCGGAUAGGAGCUCCUGCUGCAUGGUGGGGGUUGGAAAGUUUCGGCGGUUGGGGAUGGACUCGCGGCUUAUCAGCUUGUUGGUGGGGUAGUGGCUUACCAAGGCUUUGACGGGUAGCCGGCCUGAGAGGGUGACCGGCCACAGGGGGACUGAGAUACGGCCCAGACUUCUACGGGAGGCAGCAGUGGAGAAUAGUGCACAAUGGGCGGAAGCCUGAUGCAGCAACGCCGCGUGGGGGAUGACGGCCUUCGGGGUGUAAACCGCUUUCGCCUGUGACGAAGCGUGGGUGACGGAAAUGGGUAAAGAAGCACCGGCUAACUACGU